rnacentral:SRP_RNA from 1 species
UUGUGCUAGGCGGGGAGUUAGCGGUGCCCUGUACCCGAAAUCCGCUCAGCGGGGCCGAACUCCCUCCCGAGGGCAUGGGCCUGAAGAUAAGGCCACUGCUCUCACGGCACACCGGACACCACGUAACGGGCAGGUGUGAACCCCGUCAGGUCCGGAAGGAAGCAGCGGUAAGCACUGGCGUCCGUGUCGUGGUUCACUCUGGUGGAGCCGGGAGAUGCAACCUUAUCGGAUGCCCUGCUCGACGGAGGGUGCACAA